rnacentral:rRNA from 1 species
AUCCGCCGCGGUAAUUCCAGCUCCAAUAGCGUAUAUUAAAGUUGUUGCAGUUAAAAAGCUCGUAGUUGAAUUUCGGGGUUCUACCGUUGGUCGGGCUUUGUCUGUACUGGCGUGUAGAAUUUCUACCUUCUGGGGAACCAUCAUGUUAUUAAUUUGACGUGGUGGGAAACCAGGACCUUUACCUUGAAAAAAUUAGAGCGUUCAAAGCAGGCUUAUGUCUGAAUACAUUAGCAUGGAAUAAUAAAAUAGGACGGUGGUCCUGUUUUGUUGGUUUCUGAAUCACCGUAAUGAUUAAUAGGGAUAGUUGGGGGCAUUAGUAUUCAAUUGUCAGAGGUGAAAUUCUUGGAUUUAU